rnacentral:rRNA from 1 species
ACAAGGUUUCCGUAGGUGAACCUGCGGAAGGAUCAUUACCACACCUAAAAAA